rnacentral:lncRNA from 1 species
AGUGUGGCACAUCCCCCCUUGCUCUCUCUCCUGCUCCACCAUGGGAGAUGUGUUUGCUUCCCCUUCACCUUCUGCCGUGAUUGUAAUCUUCCUGAGGCUUCUCAGUUAUGCUUCCUGAUAAGCCUGUGGAACUAUGGAGCAUUUGGCCAGAGUGAUCUUUCUGAAAUGGAAGACUCAUGUAUUGUUCCUGUGAGUCAGAUGGGAAGCUGAUGGAAAGUCUUCAGCAGAGAAAAAUCCAAAGUGACUGCAAUGAUUUACGUGACUCUACAGAUCCUGGCCCCUGAUGACAGGAUGGAGUCUCCAGCUGUGAAAGUGUUGCUGCAGACAGCCCUCAGCUUCCAGUUCUUGUAAAAAUGGCCUCAGCUUCAGAGAGCUCCAUUACCCAAGCUCAUUCAUUUCCUGGGGUGUUCUGCAUCCAGUGAGUGUUCUGUGGACUUGCCAGAACACUCACUUUUGGAACCUGGCCACCAUGUUGGAAGGAAUCCCAGAGCACAUGAGGAGGCCUUUUGGGGGUGUUCCAGCUGACAGCCUUAGCUAAGGUCUUAGCUAAUAGUCAGCAUCAACUGCUGGCAAGUGAACAAGGCUUCAGAUGAUUCCAGCCCUCAGCUUUCCAGCUGAAAACAUUGUAAAGCAAAUACAGCCAUUUCCACUUUGCCCUGUCUGAAUUCCUGACCCACAGAAGCCAUGAGAGA